GAAGUGACGUUGUGUGGGGCGUGUCUGGUCCCGCACAAUGGGCCAUGGAGUUCCCGUUCGAUGUGGAUGCGCUGUUCCCGGAGCGGAUCACCGUGCUGGACCAGCACCUGCGGCCUCCGGCCCGCCGACCCGGAACCACAACGCCGGCCCGUGUGGAUCUGCAGCAGCAAAUCAUGACUAUUGUAGAUGAGCUGGGCAAGGCUUCUGCCAAGGCGCAGCACCUCCCUGCACCCAUCACCAGCGCUUUGAGGAUGCAAAGCAACCGGCACGUUAUUUACAUACUGAAGGACACCUCAGCCCGACCGGCAGGGAAAGGAGCCAUUAUUGGUUUCCUCAAAGUUGGAUACAAGAAGCUCUUUGUACUGGAUGACCGGGAGGCUCACAAUGAGGUAGAACCCCUUUGCAUUCUGGACUUUUACAUCCACGAGUCGGUGCAACGGCAUGGCCACGGGCGAGAACUUUUUCAGCAUAUGUUACAGAAAGAGCGAGUGGAGCCCCACCAACUGGCCAUUGACCGACCAUCGCCGAAGCUGCUCAAGUUCCUGAAUAAGCACUACAACCUGGAGACCACAGUCCCACAGGUGAACAACUUUGUCAUCUUUGAAGGCUUCUUUGCCCAUCAGCACCGGCCCCCCACUUCCUCUCUGAGAGCAACUCGACACUCUCGUGCUGCUGUGGCCGAUCCCAUACCUGCUGCUCCAGCACGGAAGCUGCCACCAAAAAGAGCAGAGGGAGACAUUAAGCCAUACUCUUCCAGUGACAGAGAAUUCCUGAAGGUAGCUGUGGAGCCUCCUUGGCCCCUGAACAGGGCCCCUCGGCGUGCCACACCUCCAGCCCACCCACCUCCACGUUCUAGCAGCCUGGGCAACUCACCGGAUCGGGGUCCCCUUCGGCCCUUUGUUCCAGAGCAGGAGCUGCUUCGCUCCCUGCGUCUCUGUCCCCCACACCCUACUGCACGCCUUCUGCUGGCCACUGACCCUGGAGGCAGCCCAGCCCAGCGCAGACGCACCAGCUCCCUUCCCCGAUCUGAUGAGAGUCGAUACUGACAGGAAACUUGGGAGGGCAGAUACACUCCCUCCUGCAACUUGCAACCCACUCUUCCAUCAAGAUUUUUUCUUCCUCUUUCUUGAACAACUGGGUUGCCAGGGUUCUAACUAGCCUAACACUUUGUAGCUUUUCUUACCACAGAAGACACCCCUGUACUCCCAACCUGUGCUAUGAAUACUCUCCCACAGACAGGCUGUUCUGUUCCCAGAUCUCUUGGGCUAAAUGGCUCCUACUGACUCCCUAGAGAAGCACACUCUGCUUACGGUCAGACUCCAGACCACCAGAGGUCCAAGGGCCUCCUCUGCCAGGGAAACCUUUAAGGAGUGUCCUGCCAAUGGAUUAAUUCCCUUCACAGUGCCCACUAGUAGCUCUAAUCCUGCAUCCUCCUGCCAAACCUGCCCUUUUAGUCUGAUAACUCCAUCCCCUGAGCAAGCUCUGCUUCAGAGCAGUUCUUGCUGGUAGGACCAGGGUGUGGCUUCCCAACCGGGUCCUCCCAAUAUUGCCAAACUCUUACUUUCCAAGUGUUAUGUAGAUAUGUCAGACUAAUGUUGCUCUGGGGGUCUCUGCAGGAGACACACAGACUCCACCACUUUCUUCAGAUAAGCUGUCUGUCUCUUGGCAGUAGAACCCAGGAAACAGUCUAGGACCAUUUAGCUGUGUCUCUGAUAAGCCUGGUCCAUUAGAUCCUGGAAUCCCCCCGUCCUCCUUAGUAAAUACACUUGUGAGAUUGUCUUGAGAUGAGAUGGGGAUCACCCUUGUGCUACCCCGACUUCUUUUUCCUUCAUAGCAAGAGCUUCCUUCCCUGCUUCCAUGCCCAGGGUGUAGAAGGACCCUUCUCCUGGCCCCCUAUUCCCCCAUUAGAUCAGGUGCCUCAAUGUGUCCCCUAAAGUCCUUGGGAGCAGGACCUCCCUCCUCCCUCCCUCCUUCCAGAUUCCUUUUCCCUCUCAGUGUUGUCUCAAUAAAGUGUGGGUUCUUCUGUGUUUUCUAAAUUGACAUUUUCAGCGAAAAACAUCUUAAGGUUUCAGCUUCGUUUGUGCUUCAUGCUCUUCCUGGGGUCUCAGUGCUCUUUGUCCCUCUUAGAUUCAGCUCUGAGAUCUGUAGCAGAGCUCAAAGCCUCCAGCCUCCUUCUGAGUCUCUGCCUUUCCCCAUACUUACUGCUGGUUCUAUUCUAGAGUUGCAGUAACUGUAGACCUCUCUACUAACUUGGAAGCCAUAGGUCCCCUACCCCCAGUAACAUAUACCUCCUUCCCUGGCCAGCCUUGGUAAGAUGUGGAUUUGCUAGGAGCUUGGGCUCACUAGCCUCAGGACUGUUUCUGGAUCCCUCUCCUACUCUUUGACCUCAUCAUGUCUGCACCACAAACCCCACAGUGCUCUCUGAAGACAAGUCCUGCCUAAGAUCAAGAAUCCUCACAGGGAGCCCGAUGGUGGUGGUGGCGCACACCUUUAAUCCCAGCACUUGGGAGGCAGAGGCAGGCGGAUUUCUAAAUUCAAGGCCAGCCUGGUCUACAGAGUGAAUUCCAGGACAACCAAGGACUAUACAGAGAAACCCUGUCUCGAAAAUCCAAAAAAAAAAGAAAGAAUUCUCACAGGGUACUGGGCAUGGUGGCACAAGCCUUUAAUCCCAGCCCUUGGGAGGCAGAGGUAGGCGGAUCCUGGUAAGAGUUUGAAGCCAGCCUACAUAGCAAGUUGCAGUCCAGCCAAGGCUACAGAGUGAAAGCCUGUCAAUAAUAAUAAUAAUAAUAAUAAUAAUAAUAGUCCAACAGGGUCAACCAUCUCUAAAAACUACCCUUUCUUCCUUGCUACUGUGGCCUGAAAGUUCUUUUAUUUAUUUGCUUAUUUAUUUAUUUUUAAAGAUUUAUUUAUUGUUAUAUGUAAGUACACUGUAGCUGUCCUCAGACACACCAGAAGAGGGCAUCAGAUCUCAUUACAGAUGUUUGUGAGCCACCAUGUGGUUGCUGGGAUUUGAACUCAGGACCUUCAGAAGAGCAGUCGGUGCUCUUAACCGCUCGCUGAGCUAUCUCGCCAGCCCCGAGUUCUUAUAUUUAAAAGAAUCAUUUUAAGGGAGUUCACACAUUCAGGCACCAUGGUUCAGCAAGCUCCUUCCUGCAUGCCCAAGUGUUUUUGACAUAAUUAGAUCACAUCACACACCAUCCCAGUUAGAGCAAAGCAACAGUGCAGGAUGGUACAGGAAAUCUUGAAGUAUAAAAUAAGCCCUCCCCUACCUUUGCUAGAAGUCUUAGACAAGAAUCCUUUAGGGAGGUAGCUGCCCAUCGUCUUUGUUCCCACGCUAUCCCUCCUUUCUCCUCUGACCCCUCCAUGCCACCUUUUCAUCCUGAGCCUCUUCCCCUUCAUCUCCCGUUUCUUCUACAGGGGGACUCCCUGGGGGCUGGUAGCCCAAAGCUGCCACUACAGCCGCCAUGGGGGAUUCAAUACCUCAUUCCUGGGUACAGGCAACCAAGAACGGAAGCAGGGGGAACAGGAAGCGGAGGAUAGGUGAGGUCUACACCUCCCCCUUAACAGCUGCCAGCACCUUCUGACACUGCCUAACACUACUCCUCCUGCUUCCUCCUAAGUCUGUGUGAACUGGAUACCAGUUUCCCCCACACAUCUUUCUACCUAACGUCGUAUAAGCCUUCUUCCUUGUGGCUUGAAUUCUGGUGUUUUUCCCCUCUGUCGUGCUCUGAGUACUUAAGUUUGGACACCGUGGUAACUGUCCCAGCCUUAAAACCCAACAGGUGUCUGUACAUUACCCUGCACCCACAACCUUGAAGAAUUGUCUCAGCGUAAUUCCCCGUUAGCAGCUCUAACACACGCUUCAUCUCCCUGCCCACCAGGUCGGCCAGUGAGGAUCGGGUCUUGUUACUGGAUGGGUCUGGGGAGGAGCCUACACAGACAGGUGCUCCAAGGGCCCAGGCGCCACCCCCCCAGUCCUGGACGGUGGGUGGGGACAUAAUGAACGCCAGGGUCAUUCGAAACCUGCAGGAACGCCGCAGCACCAGGCCUUGGUAACCAUGGCCAAAGCUUAGUCCUCAGUAUGGAUGCAUUCAUUCACUCAUUCAUUCAACAGGCCUGUCAGCCUCAGAUCCUUUGUAUCGUUAUUUUUAACCAGAGCAAUAAAAGUAUUUAUUUGUUAUCACUAUA